CAACUACCUAGAUAUGCACUCUCUUCCGAGUAAUACACACUAAAUAGGCAUAGUCGAUUGAGAGCUCUUCAACCAAUCACAAUAUAAAGGUAGUUGAACAAAUAGAGAAAAAGCUACGACAAAUCUAUAUUAACGUAACAGGAAAAUCAUUCUCCAAUAAGUUCCAUUAAAACCCUACAUUAGAAGUUUAGCUACUCAUACUCAUAGUAACAAUAUCCCAAGUGAUUUGCAUAAAUAAAUUACAAAGUAAAGAUGAAGGAAUGUGGAAAUCGAUGAUUCUAUCUCCCAACGGGUAUUCCACGAGCUAUUCUUGCCCCCGGUUGCAAAACUCCUCCAAAAGUGGCGUUUAAUGUCUAUUUAUAUGUGUAAGAAAAGACAUAAAUUAGUCAAACAAGGAGACGAAAUAUGCCUUCAAAAUCUGGAUCAGGCUUUCCUCAGACCGUGUCUCGCGAGGUAAAAUGCGAGAUGAACCUCGCCCCAGACCAUGCGACGCCUGCCUCCACGCGAGCUCAACCUCGCCUUAUCCCUCGCGUCGCCUGCUCCCACGCGAGCUCAAAGGCUCGCCACGCCAGCUCUAACGCGAGCUCAGUAGCUAGCUUCGCCAGCUUCCUCAUUUUUCCGCUGCUCACUUCUUUCUUCCUUUUUUUCAACUAUUUUCGAGCACGCUUUAGACUUUAAAUAUUUCUUUUGCUCUACUUUCAUCUCCAAUGUACCUACACAUAAAAUAGACUAUAUUAUGCGUAAAUAAACUGUAAUUUAGCAUUAACGCACCUAAAAUGCAAGGUAAAUAAUGUGCUAAAAUAUGGAAUUAUAACCACACAUUAAUCAACCAUACCUUUUCAUCCCACUAUUUUUUUUUUUUUGCAUAAUUUGCAAGAAUUUUUGCUAAACUAUGAGAGCGAAAGAGAAGAGAUAGAAGAAGAAAUACAAGGAGAGAAAAGGGGAGGGAAGCCAAAAUAAGCGAGUAAUUUUUUUGAGAGAGAAUAUAUAAGAGAGUAGUUUUUUUACGAUUUGGCUAUAUAAUGCCAAUUGUUUGAGGCUAUCUUUGCCAAAUCUAAUAUAAGGCUAAAAAAUACCAAUUCCUAUUAUGUGUUGUUAUAGGAUGCUAAUUUUUCUUUAAAGAUACCAUGUUUAACCCUUUUAAUCCCUAGAUACUAAUUCCAAUUGAGAGGAAACAGUGAAGCUAUACGACAAAAACUAACUACUUAAAGCUACAAACAUUCAGAAGUAAAAAGAAUAGCUUUAACCCCAGUGUCAUUAUUAUUUAUCUAACUCAAAGCAACUAAUCAGAUAGUAUCAAGAUAAUGGAUUAACUAAUCAAAAUAACGACCAAACUUCCUCUAAUACUAACAACAACAAAUUUGAAUUUUUAAGUAAACCCAGUUCGAGUUAUGGAAUCAACUUACACAUAGAUAUAAACCUAAUGCAAUAAUCAUUCAACCAAAAUCCAUGAAUCAAACUAGGAAGACAUGAUACAUGUGUAAAAGAACGGAUCUUUAUUGCCGAAUUCGAAUUUUAAAGCUUUGCAACUCAACAAACGGACCAAACACCAGUGACCACGAUCGGAAACCAGUGACAGCAACCUCGAACUCAACUCUCGAACCCCUUUUAGCUUCAGCUGAGGGAACCCAUUUUUUACUGAUUUUUGGUGAUUGUCUUGGGCCGUUUCCGGGGUGUUUUCUGAUGGAAGAACCGCGGCUGUUAUGGGGGUCGUUUUUGGGGCUUCUAGAUGGAAGAUUUUGGUGGCUUAACAUAUGGUUAUGGGGACUAAUUAAUAGUGGAAGAAGGUGGUCGUUUCACGGUGUUAAAUUGCUGGUUAUUUGGUGAGUUUUAUGGCUGAAACUUGGUGCUUGGGAAAGAAGGCUGCUUUAAUAGUAUUUUGGGUGAAGUUUCAUGGAGGAAAAUAGUGUUUGGGAAGAAGGAGGAUUUCUGCUUUUUCUUAAGCUGCUGCGCCUCUUUUCUUUCUAGCUCUCUUGCUAGCUAAAGAUGAAGAUUAUUCCUAGCGUUCCUUUUUCGUUCCUUUCUUUUCCGUAUUUUUAUCUGUCUAGGUCUAGUGGGGUAAAAUAUGAGAAAGAAGUUUUAUAGGUAUAAGUGUAUAUGUGCAGGGAGGUUUUAUGUUGUGCUUCUCGUUUGGUACGAAAAAUAAGGGAUAAUUAAAUUCAGGAUUAAAUUUAAGAUGAACUUAUUUCAUA
rnacentral:lncRNA from 1 species